CAGUAACUCCUGUCUGCCUGACCUCCGGCCGUGCUCCGAGCUCACCAAGCCUGUGGCCUGUUCAAGGUGUACAAGAGAGUGAUUCUCCAAUUCCAUAUAUUACUCAGUGCUCAUCAUGGUCCCACUAAUCUUCCCAGGAAAGAAAUGGACAGCUCUCAUACUCUGGGCCACUAGGCAUUGGUUGCCAAUUGGGAACAUCAUCAGAAAACUUUCUUAAAAUGGUCAUUGGACAGAGAAAGAGAGAGCACUGUGAGCGUAUGGGGGCAGGAAGGAGCAGAAGAAGAGGCAGAGAAUCUCAAGGAGACGCCCUGUUCUGUGUGGAGCCCAGUAUAGGACAGGCCUCUAUCCCACAACCCUGAGAUCAUGACCUGAGCCAAAAUCAAGAGUCGGUCACUUAACUGACCGAGCCACCCAAACGCCCCAUCAAUUUUCUGAAUAUAACUUAGAAGUAGAAUUGCUAGACCAUAUGGCACAUUUUUUUCAGGAACUGACAUACUCUUUUCUACAGAGGCUAUACCAGUUACAUCCCCACACAGUGGGAACACUCCCCCUGGAAAUUGGCAAGCCUUUCACAGACUCCAGGUUUCCAAAAUAGUUGAAUAUAUGUAUUCUGCCAGCACUGUUGGUCUCUAUAUGGAAAGAAAGACUUAUCCUGCUUCUGAAUCCACAGUCUUCCUGGAAUCCAUAUAUCCCAUUGCUUUUUAACAUCUAUUGUUGCUGAUAGAAAUCCACUUUUAUUCUGAUUGUCAUCUAUCUUCUUGAUCUGGUAAUUUAUACUUUUUUUCCUUUUUAUACUUGACAUUAAAUAUCAAGUCAAUUUCUGGGUCUGGA